UGACAAGUUUUCUGGUGUCCUUGCGGUGGUUU
rnacentral:piRNA from 1 species